GAUGAACGCUGGCGGCGUGCCUAAUACAUGCAAGUCGAACGCAUUGAGAGAAGUGCUUGCACUUUUCAAUUUGAGUGGCGAACGGGUGAGUAACACGUGGGCAACCUACCUGAUAGCGGGGGAUAACGAGUGGAAACAUUCGCUAAUACCGCAUAACAAUAGAGAAGGCAUCUUCUUUAUUUAAAAGGCGCUUUCAAGCGUCACUAUCAGAUGGGCCCGCGGUGCAUUAGUUAGUUGGUGGGGUGAAGUCCUACCAAGACGAUGAUGCAUAGCCGGGUGAAGUGACUGUUCGGCCACAUUGGGACUUAGACACGGCCCAAACUCCUCCGGGAGGCUGCAGUAGGGAAUCUUCCACAAUGGACGAAAGUCUGAUGGAGCAACGCCGCGUGUGUGAUGAAGGCUUUCGGGUCGUAAAGCACUGUUGUAUGGGAAGAAAUGCUAGGCUAGGAAAUGAGCUUAGUUUGACGGUACCAUACCAGAAAGGGACGGCUAAAUACGUGCCAGCCGCCGCGGUAA
rnacentral:rRNA from 1 species